rnacentral:tRNA from 1 species
UCCCUCAUAAUUCAGUUGGUGAAGAAUCUGCCUGCAAUGCAGGAGACCCAGGUUCGAUUCCUGGGUGGGGAA